UGGGGAAUUUUGGACAAUGGGGGAAACCCUGAUCCAGCCAUCCCGCGUGUGCGCUGAAGGCCUUCGGGUUGUAAAGCACUUUUGGCAGGAAAGAAACGUCAUGGGUUAAUACCCCGUGAAACUGACGGUACCUGCAGAAUAAGCACCGGCUAACUACGUGCCAGCAGCCGCGGUAAUACGUAGGGUGCAAGCGUUAAUCGGAAUUACUGGGCGUAAAGCGUGCGCAGGCGGUUCGGAAAGAAAGAUGUGAAAUCCCAGAGCUCAACUUUGGAACUGCAUUUUUAACUACCGGGCUAGAGUGUGUCAGAGGGAGGUGGAAUUCCGCGUGUAGCAGUGAAAUGCGUAGAUAUGCGGAGGAAAACCGAUGGAGAAGGCAGCCACCUGGGAUAACACUGACGCUAAUGCACGAAAGCGUGGGGAGCAAACAGG
rnacentral:rRNA from 1 species